rnacentral:rRNA from 1 species
UACGUAGGUGGCAAGCGUUGUCCGGAAUUAUUGGGCGUAAAGCGCGCGCAGGCGGUCCUUUAAGUCUGAUGUGAAAGCCCACGGCUCAACCGUGGAGGGUCAUUGGAAACUGGGGGACUUGAGUGCAGAAGAGGAAAGCGGAAUUCCACGUGUAGCGGUGAAAUGCGUAGAGACCCGGAGGAACACCAGUGGCGAAGGCGGCUUCCUGGUCUGCGACUGACGCUGUGGCGCGAAAGCUAGGGGAGCAAACGGG